rnacentral:rRNA from 1 species
UGAAGCUCCGUGCCAGAGGCGUGGGUAAGAGGGGGGGGUGCGGGUUGUUCCUGAUUCAUGGGGCGUAAAGAGCUCGUAGGCGGUUCAGUAAGUCAGGUGUGAAAUCUCCGCGCUCAACGCGGAGCGGCCACCUGUUACUGCGGUGACUCGAGUCCGGUAGGGGAGUGUGGAAUUCCCGGUGUAGCGGUGAAAUGCGCAGAUAUCGGGAGGAACACCAGUAGCGAAGGCGGCACUCUGGGCCGUGACUGACGCUGAGGAGCGAAAGCGUGGGUAGCAAACAGGAUUAGAUACCCGAGUAUC